UGUUUGACAGUGAUGGCAGACAUUGUAUUGGGUGGGGAGAGUUGGGGACAAGCAAAGGGAAGUCUUGGAGGCAGGGAUGACUGGGUCUGUUGCUGCUCUAGGACCCCAGCAGCUGCAGACAUCUGCUUCACCAAGGAGCUGCAUUCCCAUUUCUUCAGCUUGGGCAAAUGUGUGCCUGUAUGUCGAGGAGAUGGUGUCUAUCAGAAAGGGAUGGACUUCAUUUUGGAGAAGCUUAACCAUGGGGACUGGGUACACAUCUUUCCAGAAGGAAAAGUAAACAUGAGUUCUGAGUUCCUGCGCUUCAAAUGGGGUAAGUAUUGCUGGCCAGCCUGACACAGCCAGUUUCCCCAUCCAAAGAUGGCUCCUUGGGUCCCAGGCUUCAUUCCUCUCUCAGGUGGGUGUGUCAGGAGCAGUAGAAAAGGUACAGGUGGUGAGUCAAGGACUAAGUCUUUAAUUGGAAGACUGUAGAAGUAACAUUGGCCAGAGUUUGGCAGGGAAGUUUGGCCCAGCUUGUGCCAAGGCUUUUGCUUUUGUCCGAAGUAGGAAUUGGACGGCUGAUUGCUGAGUGUCAUCUAAACCCCAUCAUCCUGCCACUAUGGCAUGUUG
rnacentral:lncRNA from 1 species